UACGUAGGGUGCGAGCGUUUGUCCGGAAUUAUUGGGCGUAAAGAGCUCGUAGGCGGCUUGUCGCGUCGGAUGUGAAAGCCCGGGGCUUAACUCCGGGUCUGCAUUCGAUACGGGCAGGCUAGAGUGUGGUAGGGGAGAUCGGAAUUCCUGGUGUAGCGGUGAAAUGCGCAGAUAUCAGGAGGAACACCGAUGGCGAAGGCAGGUCUCUGGGCCGAUACUGACGCUGAGGAGCGAAAGCGUGGGGAGCGAACAGG
rnacentral:rRNA from 1 species